AUUGAACGCUGGCGGCAUGCUUUACACAUGCAAGUCGAACGGUAACAGGGAGCUUGCUCCGCUGACGAGUGGCGAACGGGUGAGUAAUGCAUCGGAACAUGCCCAGUCAUGGGGGAUAACUACGCGAAAGCGUAGCUAAUACCGCAUACGCCCUACGGGGGAAAGCGGGGGACCGUUCGGGCCUCGCGCUAUCAGAUGAGCCUGCGUAGGAUUAGCUUGUUGGUGAGGUAAAGGCUCACCAAGGCGACGAUCCUUAGCUGGUCUGAGAGGAUGAUCAGCCACACUGGAACUGAGACACGGUCCAGACUCCUACGGGAGGCAGCAGUGGGGAAUAUUGCGCAAUGGGCGAAAGACCUGACGCAGCCAUGCCGCGUGUGUGAAGAAGGCCCUUGGGUUGUAAAGCACUUUCAAUUGGGAAGAAAGGUUGCGUGUUAAUAGCACGUAGCUGUGACGUUACCUUUAGAAGAG
rnacentral:rRNA from 1 species